rnacentral:rRNA from 1 species
UACAUGGGGUGCAAACGUUGCUCGGAAUUAUUGGGCGUAAAGCGCACGUAGGCGGUUUGUUAAGUCGGAUGUGAAAUCCCUCGGCUCAACUGAGGAAGUGCAUCCGAAACUGGCAGGCUUGAGUACUAAAGAGGGUCGCGGAAUUCCCGGUGUAGAGGUGAAAUUCGUAGAUAUCGGGAGGAACACCGGUGGCGAAGGCGGCGACCUGGGUAGAUACUGACGCUGAGACGCGAAAGCGUGGGGAGCGAACAGG